UGGUAUGCCUUGACAAAUCACCUUUUUACCA
rnacentral:piRNA from 1 species